CGUGUAGGCGGUCAGGUAGGUCGGUUGUGAAAACUGGAGGCUCAACCUUCAGAGGUCGACCGAAACCCCCUGGCUAGAGUCCGGGAGAGGAGAGUGGAAUUCCUGGUGUAGCGGUGAAAUGCGCAGAUAUCAGGAAGAACACCCGCGGCGAAAGCGGCUCUCUGGAACGGUACUGACGCUGAGACGCGAAAGCGUGGGGAGCGAACA
rnacentral:rRNA from 1 species